rnacentral:rRNA from 1 species
UACGUAGGGAGCAAGCGUUGUUCGGAUUUACUGGGCGUAAAGGGCGCGUAGGCGGCAACUCAAGUCAGCUGUGAAAUCUCCGGGCUUAACUCGGAACGGUCAGCUGAUACUGUUUUGCUAGAGUGCGGAAGGGGCAAUCGGAAUUCUCGGUGUAGCGGUGAAAUGCGUAGAUAUCGAGAGGAACACCAGAGGUGAAGACGGGUUGCUGGGCCGACACUGGCGCUGACAGCGCGAAAGCCAGGGGAGCAAACGGG